AAAUUGAAGAGUUUGAUCAUGGCUCAGAUUGAACGCUGGCGGCAGGCCUAACACAUGCAAGUCGAACGGUAGCACAGAGAGCUUGCUCUCGGGUGACGAGUGGCGGACGGGUGAGUAAUGUCUGGGAAACUGCCUGAUGGAGGGGGAUAACUACUGGAAACGGUGGCUAAUACCGCAUAACGUCGCAAGACCAAAGAGGGGGACCUUCGGGCCUCUUGCCAUCAGAUGUGCCCAGAUGGGAUUAGCUUGUUGGUGAGGUAACGGCUCACCAAGGCGACGAUCCCUAGCUGGUCUGAGAGGAUGACCAGCCACACUGGAACUGAGACACGGUCCAGACUCCUACGGGAGGCAGCAGUGGGGAAUAUUGCACAAUGGGCGCAAGCCUGAUGCAGCCAUGCCGCGUGUAUGAAGAAGGCCUUCGGGUUGUAAAGUACUUUCAGCGGGGAGGAAGGUGUUGUGGUUAAUAACCACAGCAAUUGACGUUACCCGCAGAAGAAGCACCGGCUAACUCCGUGCCAGCAGCCGCGGUAAUACGGAGGGUGCAAGCGUUAAUCGGAAUUACUGGGCGUAAAGCGCACGCAGGCGGUCUGUCAAGUCGGAUGUGAAAUCCCCGGGCUCAACCUGGGAACUGCAUUCGAAACUGGCAGGCUUGAGUCUUGUAGAGGGGGGUAGAAUUCCAGGUGUAGCGGUGAAAUGCGUAGAGAUCUGGAGGAAUACCGGUGGCGAAGGCGGCCCCCUGGACAAAGACUGACGCUCAGGUGCGAAAGCGUGGGGAGCAAACAGGAUUAGAUACCCUGGUAGUCCACGCCGUAAACGAUGUCUACUUGGAGGUUGUGCCCUUGAGGCGUGGCUUCCGGAGCUAACGCGUUAAGUAGACCGCCUGGGGAGUACGGCCGCAAGGUUAAAACUCAAAUGAAUUGACGGGGGCCCGCACAAGCGGUGGAGCAUGUGGUUUAAUUCGAUGCAACGCGAAGAACCUUACCUGGUCUUGACAUCCACAGAACUUUCCAGAGAUGGACUGGUGCCUUCGGGAACUGUGAGACAGGUGCUGCAUGGCUGUCGUCAGCUCGUGUUGUGAAAUGUUGGGUUAAGUCCCGCAACGAGCGCAACCCUUAUCCUUUGUUGCCAGCGAUUAGGUCGGGAACUCAAAGGAGACUGCCAGUGAUAAACUGGAGGAAGGUGGGGAUGACGUCAAGUCAUCAUGGCCCUUACGACCAGGGCUACACACGUGCUACAAUGGCGCAUACAAAGAGAAGCGACCUCGCGAGAGCAAGCGGACCUCAUAAAGUGCGUCGUAGUCCGGAUUGGAGUCUGCAACUCGACUCCAUGAAGUCGGAAUCGCUAGUAAUCGUGGAUCAGAAUGCCACGGUGAAUACGUUCCCGGGCCUUGUACACACCGCCCGUCACACCAUGGGAGUGGGUUGCAAAAGAAGUAGGUAGCUUAACCUUCGGGAGGGCGCUUACCACUUUGUGAUUCAUGACUGGGGUGAAGUCGUAACAAGGUAACCGUAGGGGAACCUGCGGUUGGAUCACCUCCUUACCUUAAAGAAGC
rnacentral:rRNA from 1 species